UGUUUUGGUUGUCACAAGAAUGGCUCGGGAAAUAGAAAGCUAUUCCUUUACAGAAUGGCCGGUGCAAGUUUUUGCAAUUGAUUAUACAGGACAGCUUGUAGCUUUACCUGGGCGUGGUGGACUAGCUCUAUAUGACUUGACACAAGGUCAUUCAUGUAUUGGU